rnacentral:rRNA from 1 species
GAUGAACGCUGGCGGCGUGCUUAACACAUGCAAGUCGAACGGCAAGGCCCAAGCUUGCUUGGGUACUCGAGUGGCGAACGGGUGAGUAACACGUGGGUGAUCUGCCCUGCACUUCGGGAUAAGCCUGGGUAACUGGGUCUAAUACCGUAUAGGACCACUUCUUGGAGGUAGUGGAGGAGAGUUUUUUCGGUGUGGAGUUAGCUGGCGGCCUAUCGGCUUGUGGGUGGGGUAAUGGCCUACCAAGGCGUCGGCGGGUAGCCGGCCUGUGAGGGUGUACGGCGACACUGGGUCCUAGGGACGGCCCAGAUGCCGACGGGAGGCCGCAGUGGGGAAGCUUGCUCAAGGGGCGCCAGCCGGGUGCAGCGACGCCGCGGGUGGUAUGACGGCCUUCGGGGUGUAAACUAGUUUCGCUAGGGACGAAGCGUUUUGUGACGGUACCUGGAGAAGAAGCACCGGCUAACUACGUG